ACUCCCUUACCUUGAGAGAGACUUUCACAGGCAGCUCCUCAUCUGCCUCUAAUUCCUAGAGGGCUGUUUUCUGCCUUGUUUCCUCUUAGGGUACAGCCGCAGACUAUAAAACUGCUUAGCUGUUGUGUGGAAUUGGCUCCACAGAACACAGUGCCUCAUAACUCAUUUGCAUGUCAUUUUGCCCCUUUUGUUUGAGUGUCAACCUGUGGGACAAGGAACAUGGGACAUGGAGCACUGCCAUCAAUGUUGACCUUGUUUGACUGACAAUAAGAAAACCAGUCUGGACAGGCAAGGAUAGACCAAUAAAGGACUGAAAAACAAUUUCAUCAUGUUUUUGGAAUUGCAUGAGUGUUAGUGAAACCAUCCAAGAAAAUGAAACUGAUCUCCGUGGACUCCUAAAUCGAUCUCAGUACUCACCAGCGCAUCCACUGGGGCUUACAUAGCAGCUUCACAGCAUUAACUGAGUCCAAAUACAACAGAUUCUGGCCCAGUGAUGGAACAGCAAAGGAGAAUGAGCCUCAGAGCUGUCAAGCUUCUCAUUUAAAGUUAUUGUAAAGAAAGUUCAUCUCAGAAAGAUGGCCAACUAUGAAUUUUCAGUGUAGAUAAUUAGGUAACUCUACAGCUAUUUUUGGAGGUGUGGAGGCACAAAGAUGUGUCGCCUUAUGGCCUGGAAGACUGACCAGGACAAAUGAUACAACUGGACUUUAACCAGAAGCCUUCUCACAAGUUCCAACCAGCAACACACUUCAAUAGACAAGGAAAGCUACAAAUGGGCAGUGCCUCAGCUCCUGAAAUUACAAGAUGGAGAAAAAUCCCACUGCCCAUGUGAGAAUUUAAGUGAAGAACAAAUAGAACUUUUAUGAUGCUAAGUCUCUGAGAUUUGGGAGUUUGCUGUGGCAACAAAUGAUAAUUAGAUACUAGAGAUGAUACUAUUGGUUCCUUAUCCCAGUGACCUUCCUGAAAGGACCACAGUUGUGUUCAGGUUUCCAUUCCCAAUGUCAGUGUGACUGAUGGGUUCCCUCAUGUAUAUGUGAUACAAUCCUUACCAAGAAAGCAUGAGGAAAGACUCAUACAGAACUCUGGAAAUAAAGAUGCUGUCUUCUC